rnacentral:rRNA from 1 species
GUUGAACGCUGGCGGCGUGCCUAAUACAUGCAAGUCGAGCGAACAGACGAGGAUCUUGCUCCUCUGACGUUAGCGGCGGACGGGUGAGUAACACGUGGAUACCCUACCUAUGAGACUGGGAUAACGUCGGGAAACCGGAGCUAAUACCGGAUAAUAUGUUGAACCGCAGGGUUCAAUAGUGAAAGACGGUUUUGCUGUCACUUAUAGAUGGAUCCGCGCCGCAUUAGCUAGUUGGUAAGGUAACGGCCUACCAAGGCAACGAUGCGUAGCCGACCUGAGAGGGCGAUCGGCCACACUGGAACUGAGACACGGUCCAGACUCCUACGGGAGGCAGCAGUAGGGAAUCUUGCACAAUGGGCGAAAGCCUGAUGGAGCAACGCCGCGUGAGUGAUGAAGGUCUUCGGAUCGUAAAACUCUGUUAUUAGGGAAGAACAAAUGUGUAAGUAACUAUGCACGUCUUGACGGUACCUACACAGAAAGCCCCGGCUAACUACGUG